rnacentral:rRNA from 1 species
UACGUAGGGCGCAAGCGUUAUCCGGAAUUAUUGGGCGUAAAGAGCUCGUAGGCGGUUUGUCGCGUCUGCCGUGAAAGUCCGGGGCUUAACUCCGGAUCUGCGGUGGGUACGGGCAGACUUGAGUGAUGUAGGGGAGACUGGAAUUCCUGGUGUAGCGGUGAAAUGCGCAGAUAUCAGGAGGAACACCGAUGGCGAAGGCAGCUCGCUGGGCAUUAACUGACGCUGAGGAGCGAAAGCAUGGGGAGCGAACAGG